CUUACACAUGCAAGUCGAGGGGUUGUGUCCCAGCAAUGGGGUACGACGACCGGCGCACGGGUGCGUAACGCGUAUGCAACCAACCGCAAGGUUCGGGAUAGCCCGGCGAAAGCCGGAUUAAUACCGGAUGAGGCAAUAUGAUAGCAUUAUUAUAUUGUUAAAGAUUAAUCGCCAUGCGACGGGCAUGCGUUCCAUUAGGUAGUUGGUGAGGUAACGGCUCACCAAGCCAUCGAUGGAUAGGGGUUCUGAGAGGAAGGUCCCCCACACUGGUACUGAGACACGGACCAGACUCCUACGGGAGGCAGCAGUGAGGAAUAUUGGUCAAUGGCCGAGAGGCUGAACCAGCCAAGUCGCGUGCAGGAAGACGGCCUUAUGGGUUGUAAACUGCUUUUAGACGGGAAUAAGAAUCGCCACGUGUGGCGUUGUGCAAGUACCGUCGGAAUAAGCAUCGGCUAACUCCGUGCCAGCAGCCGCGGUCAUACGGGUGUUGCGAUCGUUGUCCGGAUUUAUUGGGUUUAAAGGGUGCGUAGGUGGAUUAAUAAGUCAGCGGUGAAAGUUUGUCGCUCAACGAUAAAAUUGCCGUUGAAACUGUUAAUCUUGAGUAUGUUUGGGGCAGGCGGAAUGCGGGGUGUAGCGGUGAAAUGCAUAGAUAUCCCGCAGAACUCCAAUCGCGAAGGCAGCUUGCCAAGCCAUUACUGACACUGAAGCACGAAAGCGUGGGUAUCAAACAGGAUUAGAUACCCUGGUAGUCCACGCUGUAAACGAUGAUUACUGGCUGUUUGUGUUUACCUAUAAGGGGCACAGCUAUAUCGUUGGGUCCUCGACCUGUGGAGUACGCCGGCCACGGUGGAACUCAAAGGAAUUGACGGGGGGCCGCACAAGCGGAGGAAGAUGUGGUUUAAUUCGAUGAUACGCGAGGAACCUUACCCGGGUUUGAACGCAGGGGGACUUGGUGUGAAAGCAUCAUUCCAGCAAUGGUCGCCUGCGAGGUGCUGCAUGGUUGUCGUCAGCUCGUGCCGUGAGGUGUCGGCUUAAGUGCCAUAACGAGCGCAACCCCUUCCGCCAGUUACCAUCGAGUAAAGUCGGGGACUCUGGCGGGACUGCCGGCGUAAGCCGUGAGGAAGGCGGGGAUGACGUCAAAUCAGCACGGCCCUUACAUCCGGGGCGACACACGUGUUACAAUGGCACGGACAAAGGGUAGCUACCUGGUGACAGGAUGCGAAUCCCCAAACCGUGUCCCAGUUCGGAUCGGAGUCUGCAACUCGACUCCGUGAAGCCGGAUUCGCUAGUAAUCGCGCAUCAGCCAUGGCGCGGUGAAUACGUUCCCGGGCCUUGUACACACCGCCCGUCAAGCCAUGGGAGCCGGGGGUGCCUAAAGUCCGUAACCGCAAGGAUCGGCCUAGGG
rnacentral:rRNA from 1 species